rnacentral:rRNA from 1 species
UACGUAGGGCGCAAGCGUUGUCCGGAAUUAUUGGGCGUAAAGAGCUCGUAGGCGGUUUGUCGCGUCUGCUGUGAAAACCUAAGGCUCAACCUUGGGCUUGCAGUGGGUACGGGCAGACUAGAGUGCGGUGAGGGGUGACUGGAAUUCCUGGUGUAGCGGUGGAAUGCGCAGAUAUCAGGAAGAACACCCGUGGCGAAGGCGGCUCUCUGGGACGGUACUGACGCUGAGACGCGAAAGCGUGGGGAGCGAACAGG